rnacentral:rRNA from 1 species
GAUUGAACGCUGGCGGUAUGCUUAACACAUGCAAGUCGAACGGAAACGAUACUAGCUUGCUAGUAGGCGUCGAGUGGCGGACGGGUGAGUAACGCGUAGGAAUCUGCCUGAUAGUGGGGGAUAGCCCGAAGAAAUUCGGAUUAAUACCGCAUAAUCUAUUCGUAGUAAAGUGGGGGACUUUCGAGCCUCACGCUAUCAGAUGAGCCUGCGUAAGAUUAGCUUGUUGGUAGGGUAAAAGCCUACCAAGGCGACGAUCUUUAGCUGGUCUGAGAGGAUGAUCAGCCACAUCGGGACUGAGACACGGCCCGAACUCCUACGGGAGGCAGCAGUGGGGAAUAUUGGACAAUGGGGGCAACCCUGAUCCAGCAAUACCGCGUGUGUGAAGAAGGCCUGAAGGUUGUAAAGCACUUUCAAUUGUGAAGAAAAGUUAGCGGUUAAUAACCGUUAGCCUUGACGUUAACUUUAGAAGAAGCACCGGCUAACUCCGUGCCAGCAGCCGCGGUAAUACGGAGGGUGCAAGCGUUAAUCGGAAUUACUGGGCGUAAAGCGUGCGUAGGCGGUUUAUUAAGUCAGAUGUGAAAGCCCCGGGCUUAACCUGGGAACUGCAUUUGAAACUGGUCAACUAGAGUAUGGUAGAGGAAAGUGGAAUUUCUGGUGUAGCGGUGAAAUGCGUAGAUAUCAGAAGGGAACAUCAAUGGCGAAGGCAGCUUUCUGGACCAAUACUGACGCUGAGGUACGAAAGCGUGGGUAGCAAACAGGAUUAGAUACCCUGGUAGUCCACGCCGUAAACGAUGAUAACUAGCCGUUGGGGGGAUUUACCCUUUAGUGGCGAAGCUAACGCGUUAAGUUAUCCGCCUGGGGAGUACGGCCGCAAGGUUAAAACUCAAAGGAAUUGACGGGGACCCGCACAAGCGGUGGAGCAUGUGGUUUAAUUCGAUGCAACGCGAAGAACCUUACCUGGUCUUGACAUCCUGCGAACUUUCUAGAAAUAGAUUGGUGCCUUCGGGAACGCAGUGACAGGUGCUGCAUGGCUGUCGUCAGCUCGUGUCGUGAGAUGUUGGGUUAAGUCCCGUAACGAGCGCAACCCCUAUCCUUAUUUGCCAGCACAUCAUGGUGGGAACUAUAAGGAGACUGCCGGUGAUAAACCGGAGGAAGGCGGGGACGACGUCAAGUCAUCAUGGCCCUUACGACCAGGGCUACACACGUGCUACAAUGGGAAGGACAAAGAGCCGCGAAGCCGCGAGGUGUAGCUAAUCUCAUAAACCUUUUCGUAGUCCGGAUUGGAGUCUGCAACUCGACUCCAUGAAGUCGGAAUCGCUAGUAAUCGUAGAUCAGAAUGCUACGGUGAAUACGUUCCCGGGUCUUGUACACACCGC